rnacentral:lncRNA from 1 species
UUGUUUUUCUUCAUUUGAUACCACCUUGGAGCAAAAGCAACAAAAAUUUGUCGCUUCCUCACCUAAAAACAACAAAGGGAUAAACCCUGAGUAUGGAAUUACUCAGCAAGUCUUACCCGACUAAAGAAAAGACUCUCAAGGUGUCGGUGUUUUGGGUCCGACCGCACACCCGGGGUUGCCCCUCAAGGUGUUUUUAGGAGUAGGACGGUGUCGACGACUGUAGCAAAAUGGUCCGUGCCGAUCGCACGAGGGACAAUGGACAAGAUUUGCAGGUUCGGGCCGCUUAGAGAUGCGUAACACCCUACGUCCUGAUGAGUGUUCGAGUGUGGUUACAAGAGGACUCUCUGGGUUGAAGGCACAGAGAGUUUACGUGGGUGGCUAAGUAAAGUAGGGUCGAUCGUUCUGAAGGGGUGCCCCCUAGGCCUUAUAUACUCGACCGUGGGGCAGUACACGUGGAUAUGAUAACAACAAGUAGCUAAAAGAUAGUGAACCUCUUGAGUUUAUCCCUACGUAACCCUCGCCGACUUAUCCUCGCAUGGCUCCGUUGCAUGGGGGCUUCAGCGCGGGAAAGUCGGGUCUCUGUUGCGAUUCAUUCGUUCGACGUUGUGGGCCGUCCGGGUUUGCACCAAUCCAGUCUCAUGUCUUCUCUUCUUUGUUGGUUGUCUUUCCCCAGGCCCACGAAAGAAUGACCUUACGAAUUAUUGGGCCCUUGGGCCUUUCGUGAGGUCUUUUACUUCUUUAGUGGACCCAGGGGAUAUCUAUCCCCCACAAGCCCCCGAUCUUUGGGUUGAUUUAGAGGUAAUCAACUCAAAGAUCCAAGGUCCAAAAAAUGACUUCCUGCUGUCUUCUCUUGCUCUGAUCACUCGUUCGACCAAAGUUUAGUUUUGUGCUUGUGCCUUAGAGGUCGGCAUUUUGAAUUGUAGGAUUCUGGACUUCAUUGGGUGCACCGGAGGUGCACCCAAUGGGUGUAGACCCCGACCUUUGAGUAGAUUUUAGAAGAUAAUCUACUCGAAGGUCUUCCCCAAAGAUUAUCUCCAUUCGCGCUCCUGCAUCUCGGUUGAGGAUUGGUCUUUUCAAUCUUGUCCCACGCCUUAGAAGUCGGCACUAUAUCGGUUUAGAAUGAUAAUCCAUGGGGUGCACCAAAGGUGCACCCAAUGGGUGUAGCCCCCGACCUUCAAAUGGAUUUUUUAAGGAUAAUCCGUUCGAAGGUCUUCCUUUUGCUUGUAAAAGUUGGCGUGAAGCUAUUCGCAUUAUGCUUUGGAGGUCAGCAUUAUGUCAUCCGGAUUUUGCUGCCGAGGUCAGCAUAUAUUUUGUCUCUAGCAGCCGAGUUUGCAAUCCAUCCAUAUCUUGCUAGGUAAUGCAAUUUAUUUGCUUCUGCGACUUGAUUGGACGUUUGAUGGACGUUCUCUGUCUAGUCCUCACAUCGCUUCUGUCGGCCGUCUCUUGUACUUUGCUGGCUAUAUUUGGCUUUCCUCUGAUCCUUACUGAUAUCUCAUUUUUGUCUUGAAGUAUUUUACUGCGUGCCCUGCACGGAUGUGACCGUUUUGAAAAAUAUACUGAUAAUUCCUGGGCGUCCCCCCCCCAAUGGGUGUGGGCAAGGGACGGCUUGGUACGCUGAGUGUUUUAGCCGGCUGCUUCUGAGUAGUAAUGUGAUGGGACGGCUUGUGUAAUCAUAUCCUUUGUGCUGUUGACUGGAGUCCCAAUGGGUGUGGUGCUGCAUGAAACGGCGUCCGUCGUCUGACGUGUCUUCAGAUGGGUGGGAGUGCUUAUUGAAUGCUUUGUGACUGUUCAGUGACCGCGGUUGGAAGUGAGCGGUUGCCUUUCCCUUCUAUAAAUAACGCCUUUGCUUCUCUGGUUUUUUCACAUCUCUUCGCUGUUCUUUACUGCCUUCUUCUCCUCCCUUCUGUCUGCUUCCACCAUGGGCAAGGGUACCAAGCGCAAGCGCGAGCCGACUCCUCCGUCGGAUGAUUUCGGUGACUCGGAAUACUCGGAGGAGGAGUUCUCCUCCGAGUCCGAGGGAUCUCCGGCUCCCGUCUCUCCCCCGGCGUCGUCUGAUGAUUUAGACGACUCCCAGGGGAUUGCCGCGGAGGUCUGGACGUACAUCCGGGCCGUCGAGCGCUCCGGGCUCGAGGGCUCGGAUGAGUCUGAGUUCUCCUCGGACGAGGAGGACUCGGACGGCGGCGAGGACGAAGAUGACGACGACGACGACGGCGACGACGACGACGACGGUGGCAACGGCGACGGUGACGGCAGCAACGGCGGCGGGGGCAGCGGCGGCAAGGGCAGCACCAGAGGCGGCGGCAGUACGGGCAGCACCAGAGGCGGCAGUAGCAAGGGCAGCACCAGGGGCGGCGGUGGCAGGGGCAGCAGCAGCAAGGGCAGCACCAGAGGCGGCGGCAGUACGGGCAGCACCAGAGGCGGCAGUAGCAAGGGCAGCACCAGGGGCGGCGGUGGCAGGGGCAGCAGCAGCAAGGCCAGUGGCUAAACGCCACUGGUUUUUAGAUAUUAGUAUAGCGUAGUUAGAAUAAUGUAGUAGUAAUGUAGAGUAGUAUAGUGUAGUUUAGUAGUAGUAGUAAUGUAGAGUAGAAGUAGGGAAGCACCAACUCGCGAAGAGUUGGUUUGUAAACUUAUUAACUUCCCCUUAAUGAAGAACUGUCGUUGGCCCCAUCUCGAUGAUUCACUUUCUCUGAUUGUUGAACUGGUUUUUUUUGAUAUAGUAGAUGAAUAACUUGCGCAUCACGUUGACGCUUCCAGAAGUAGCUGCUGAGUAAUAUUGUAGUCGGCAUCGGCGUUUUAGAAGCAACGCCGAGCGAUUGAAGGUUGACAUCAGCGUUUUAGGAGUAACACCGAGCAAUCGAACACGAAACCAUCGUUUUAGAGGCAGCGCCGAGUCAGUGAAGGUCGACAUCGGCAUUUUAGAAGUGACGCCGAGCGAUCAAACACGCGAUCGGCGUUUUAAAGGCCACGCCGAGUGACUGAAGGUCGGCGUCGGCAUUUUAGAAGUAAUGCCGAGCAAUAGAAUACAAGUUCAGCGUUUUGGAGGCAACGCCGAGUGAUUGGAGGUCGGCGUCGGCGUUUUAGAAGUAACGUCGAGCGAUUGAACACGAGAUCGGCGUGUUAGAGGCCACGCCAAGUGAUUGAAGGUUAGCGUCGGCGUUUUAGAAGUAAUGUCGAGCGAUAGAACACAGGAUCAGCGUUUUAGAGGCAACGCCGAGUGACUGAAGGUCGGCGUCGGCAUUUUAGAAGUAAUGCCGAGCGAUAGAAUGCAAGUUCAGCGUUUUGGAGGCAACGCCGAGUGAUUGGAGGUCGGCGUCGGCGUUUUAGAAGUAAUGUCGAGCGAUUGAACACGAGAUCGGCGUGUUAGAGGCCACGCCGAGUGAUUGAAGGUUAGCGUCGGCUUUUUCGGAAAUAACAGCCAGAUGUCCACGUGGCAUGCUGAGGUUUCGGAAAUAACCGCCGGGUGAUGACUGGGCACUUUUUGAAGCGGUAUCUGGCUCAAGAAUAUCCCAUAAGAGUUGCGCUUUUAGCCGCCUUUGCUUUCCGUGCCCUAGUUCUUGCAUUUCCGCAUCUGAAUCUUCUCUGCCACUCGCCUCCUACUCUGUUCGCCAGUGAGAAGCAAGAUGGCGCCCAAGAGGAAAACUGUGAACUCGUCUGCUGCAGUGAUCCCCGCAAUCGACCCCAACAGUCAGUUACCCUUCGCAGGUAACCAUAUGUCUGUUAUUUCCGAAGCUGAGCUUCUCCGUCUUGUCUCCAUCGGGGUUCUUCCUCCGCGGGAACUCUAUUCUUGGCGGAUUUGCCACGGGACUACUGACCCAACCGAAGAUACCCACGAGUCAGUAGUUUACGCUCCUUUCCUUCUCCGCGGCCUCGGCCUUCCCAUCUCUCCUUUUUUCUGUGGCCUCCUUGAUUUUUAUCAUAUCAACUUGACUCAUUUGAACCCUAAUUCCAUUCUCCAAAUCUCCAUUUUCGUUCACCUAUGCGAAGCCUACCUCGGUGUGCUGCCGCAUUUCGGUUUAUGGAAGUAUCUGUAUCAUUGCCGUCCUGGAAUGGCUGGGGGGCAACAUCAGCUGGUCGGAGGUGCCAGUUUGGAGAUGCGCCGUGGGCGGAAGACCGAGUAUCUUGAGAUUCCCCUCAAAGAUAGCAUUAAAGGUUGGCGUCUGGAGUGGUUUAUAGUUGAUAAUUAUGGAAAUUCUCUCCCUUCCCGGUCAGGAAGACAGCCAGACGUUCGUACUCCGAGUUGGACUGAGUCUCCCACAGAUCAGGAAGUGGCCAAGGCAGGUGUGUUGCUUACUGAAGUCGGAUUACUGAAAGAGAGAGGUCUGACUGCCGAAGCUGUGGUCACUGAUUUUGUUUUCAAGAACAUUCAGCCACUGAAAGACAGGGCCUAUCCGGCAUAUCUGUAUCGAGGGCUGGCCGACUCAACUCGGGUUACCAAUAGGAGAAUUCCUUCUGUUGACUUGGUAAGCCGUCUUGAAAUGAUCCUCAGGGGUAAAGUUUCAAAUGUUGGUGCUCCAGUGGCAUACUCGGCUUGGAACCUACCUCCUCCCAAAGCUUUCACCCUUUUUGUGUCCAAUCCGCCCAUGACUGAUAGCAAUUUGGGUCUUAGAGUGCGACCCUCUGCUGAAGAAGUCUGUACUUUGGUUGCUUCGCUCGGGGAGAUUCCUGAUGAUGAACGGCAGGUUUAUUUUGAAGUGCCCCUGAACCCUAGUGAUGCAGACAUAAAUGACAUGCUUGAUCUGUUAGCUGAGGAUUCAUCUGAUGCUGCUCCUGAUGGUACAUUGGCAGUGGUGCCCCUUCCAGAGGUUGAUACAACUUUGGAUGUCCCGAAACCUGUUAGUGCUCGCCCGAGGCGCCCUAGCCGAACUAGUCAGCCCGAGCCUUCUGCUGAUGAGCAAAAGAAGAAGAGAAGACGCCUCCGGCGAGUAUCCAGUUUUGAUGAGGACGCAGUACCUUAGCUCCUGCUGCUGAAGAAAUGACUGCAACUGGCCUUGCUGACAUUGAUCCCAAUGGGUGUGCUCCACCUGUUGCUGACCCCAAUGAGGAUGCGACUUGCGCUGUUACUGUGGAAGAUGAGGAGGAAGAAAAUGAAGCUCCAUUAACUCGGAAAAACAGUCGGCAGUUCGUCGCCAGCGGUGGAAGUAGUGGAGUUCCUUCUCCUGCUUUGUCUACCCUUAUUGGUCUGCAAGAACUGUCCAUGGCCAACUUUGAUCAAACUCUAGAGGAUAUGGUCCCGGAGAACUUGUUGUCAGAGCCUGUGGAUGUUGAUGCAACAGAGACUUGUGCAGCCGCGCCCGAUGCUGGGUUGAGGUCAUCCCGUGCCUCGUCAACCUUAGAGCAUGAUCUCGAGGGUCGGGAUGCUGGCUUGGAUUGUCCUGGUCCCAUGGAAGUAGCUAAAGGCCCGUCAACCUUAGAGGUGGUUACGGCAGAGAGCUUGGACCCCUUGAAUAGUGCCGACACGUGCCCAGCCCCCGAGGAUGUCGCUGGGGAAGACUUAGCUCGGGUGAGGAGUAUAAGCCACUGCCCAGCCCCCGAGGGUGUUGCCGGGGAUGAUCCGGCUCAAGUGGGCAGUGCCAACUGUGACCCAGCCCCCGAGGGUGUCCGAGCAAGGUCUCCUUCCUGCACUUCCAUGGAUGUUCAUGCGGGUUCACCUCCACACUCUGGCGGCAUGGUGGUGGCCCAAACUCUGGAUCAGGGAGUUGCUUUAGAGGGCAGCGUCCCCACUGGUCUGGCGUUUGGUUCUGUUGAAGGCACUGAGCUCGUUUCUACUGGUCCGUUGCAAGCUGUUCCGGGUGGUGGUCUGGCAUCUGAUUAUCAGCUGAUUUCUCCUGAUUUGGGGAUCCCUUCGUUCUUUUCCAAUCUCCAGGUACUGUGCUAUACUUUUAGCUUGAUCUUUACGCUGCAUGAAUUUUCGUCAUUAUGUUCAUCCGUUCUUCUCAUCAGGCUUUGGUGGAUGGGAUGGCCAGCCAGCUGAGAUCGCAGGGUGCUUCCGUCCCAGAAGUGGCUUCAUCUCUUGAGCGUUGGAAUCCGGUGUCACUUCAUCGUUGUGUAUCCGAGUUGGAGGCAACUAAUGCUGGUUAGUGCCCUUCUUCUUCUUCUUUGCCUUUGUUCGUGGACUGUUUUACCUUCUGACCUCAUUUCGUUUGAUUACCUCUUGAUAGGAAUGACUCGGCAGAUUGCAGUCCUUGAGGAAAAACAUUCCCGAGAUCAAGCUGAAAUGGCUCAACGGUGUGCUGACUUCGAGGAUAAGUAUUCUCAGAGUCAGACUGAACUAAAUCAGGUCUCCGCUGCUUUGGAUGACGCCAACGCUCUGAGUUCUUCUCUUCACGCUCGGCUUGACUCCGAAAAGGUAACUUACAAAACCGUGCUUCGCCUUAUUACAUGCUUGAAUUCUGAAUGAGUUGAUUUUUGUUUAUAGGAAGAAAAACGCAUCCUUGCUGCUUCUCGCGACAAUCUGGACAGAUUGUAUCGAGACUCUAGCAACUCGCUAACCAUCUUGGAGAGGAGCCACCGUUUUACGAUGGAAGAACUGGACAAUCAGCGUCGCCGGCUGCAAGAAUCUGCGGACGAAGUGACCCGCCUCAAGCAACUGAUAUCAGCGAAGGAUGCCACCAUCAAGGGACUCCGAGCUUCUAAGAAAUCCAUUACUCAGGAGUUAGAAACUACUCAGCUGGCUGCUAAAGUUGCCGAGGAAACUGCUGUCACUCUUAAAGCUCAGCGUGAUAAAGCCAUGGACAAGGCUAUUCGGGCGGGACGAAUCUUGAUGAGAAGACCCGGCGUGGUUGUCCCUGACGACAUAAGAGCCGAUGUGAAUGCUGCCCCCGAUUCUUCGAAUCGCCCUUCUUCGUCAGUCGCUCCUGAGAAAGACAUUGGAAAAUAGAGAAACAUUUCGCGUGCUAUGAGCGCGCGGUUAGCAUGAUCAAGUACUCGUUAGGGGUUAUCAGCUUAUCAUUCGAAUGAUAUGAUCACUCUCUUAUUGUAUCAGAAUUAAUUCGCAAGUUUGUGGUAACGCUGCAUGAUGAUUAUGAAGUUUGUUUUCGGGAUAUGGAAGUCAUCCCCUGAAUUGCAUAAGCGUGAGUAUGUUGCACUGGCUUAAGCCAUCGCUGACUUAAGUCGAUUGCUCCGUUUGUAGGGCAUAGUGUUCACCCCGAAUUAAGUAAGCGUGAGCAUGUUGCACCGCCUUAAGUCGUUGCCGACUUAAGUCGAUUGCUCCGUUUGUCGGGCAUAGUGGUCACCCCAAAUUAAGUAAGCGUGAGCAUGUUGCACCGCCUUAAGUCGUUGCCGACUUAAGUCAAUUGCUCCGUUUGUAGGGCAUAGUGGUCACCCUAAAUUAAGUAAGCGUGAGCAUGUCGCACCGCCUUGAGUCAUUGCCGACUUAAGUCGAUUGCUCCGUUUGUAGGGCAUAGUGGUCACCCCAAAUUAAGUAAGCGUGAGCAUGUCGCACCGCCUUAAGUCGUUGCCGACUUAAGUCGAUUGCUCCGUUUGUAGGGCAUAGUGGCCACCCCAAAUUAAGUAAGCGUGAGCAUGUUGCACCGCCUUAAGUCGUUGCCGACUUAAGUCGAUUGCUCCGUUUGUAGGGCAUAGUGGUCACCCCGAGUUAAGUAAGAAUGCAAGUCAAUCAUAAACGAGCCGAGUAUCUUUGAAAUCUCUCUUUAUUGAUGACGUAUUUCCAUUUUACAGAAUACAUGGUCGCCCCAGCUGUUUUGAAAUACAGCUAGGGGUAAAACUUUCUGAGGUGCUCUAUGUUCCAGGAGUUCCCAACUUCUGUGCCAUCCAUCUGGGUGAGGCGAUACGAUCCGGGCCGAGUGACCUCUGCCACUAUGAAAGGCCCUUCCCAUAAGGGUGAUAACUUGUGCCGUCCCUCCCCCGUUAGAAUUCGGCGGAGGACGAGGUCUCCUAUCGAAAAGAAACGUUGCCGCACAGCCUUGUCGUGAUAGCGCCUUAGAGUCUGCUGGUACCGUGCUGAUUGGAUUACUGCAUUCAGUCGUUCUUCCUCAAGUACAUCAAUAUCCUCCAGCCUGGUGGCCUCGGCUUCUGCUAUGCUUUCGAAGAUCAAUCUUGGCGCCCCAAACUUGAGAUCAGUAGGUAGCACUGCCUCCGACCCAUAGACCAUGAAGAAAGGAGUGUUUCCAUGCAGGGCUCGGCUAGGUUGGGUUCUCAGGCUCCAAACAACAUAAGGCAGCUCCCUUAUCCAUUUUCCUGCGAAUUUUUCAUUCUUAUCGAAGACCCUUUUCCUGAGUGCCUCCAAUAUCAUUCCGUUGGCUCGCUCAACCUGCCCGUUGGCUCUUGGAUGUGCUACAGACACGUACUUGAUCUGAAUGCUCUUUUGCUCGCAGAAGUCAAAGAAUUCUGAACUGGUGAAGUUGGAUCCCAAGUCAGUGAUGAUACUGUUUGGUAUCCCGAAUCUGAAUAUUAUGCUUUGUAUGAAUUCCACGGCUUUAGCAGAGGUUAAAGAAGCAAUGGGCUAGAACUCUAUCCAUUUAGUGAAUUUGUCAAUUGCCACCAAUACAUGGGUAUAUCCUCCUUGAGCUUUCUUGAAAGGUCCAAUCAUAUCCAGUCCCCAGCAUGCGAAAGGCCAAGUUACUGGUAUGGUCUGUAGCUGCUGUGCUGGCAUGUGCUGUUGCUUUGACAGGUAUUGGCAAGCUUCGCAUCUCUGAACUAACUCGGCUGCAUCGUUCUUCGCCGUCGGCCAAUAGAAUCCUGACCUAAAAACCUUCCCGACUAGUGUUCUGGAUGCUGCAUGUACUCCACACUGCCCUGCAUGGACUUCCUCCAGAAGUUGCUUCCCGGUAGACGGGAGAACGCACUUCAUGAGGACGCCUGACGCGCCCCUCCUGUAUAAUACCUCCCCAAUGAGUGUAUAGUGAGCUGAUUGUCUAGCAAUGCGCUCUGCCGAGUUCUUGUCAUCUGGUUCUUCUUCAUUCUUUAUAUACUUAAUAAUCGGCCGUCUCCAGUCAUCAGAGUCUGACUCGGGUUGAUCUAUGAUGUUGCACUCUUCUGUUUGAUCCAUCGAGAUACUCGGCUGGAGAAUUUCUUGCACGAAGACCCCGGGCAGGACCUGAGUCCGACCGGAUCCGAGCUUGGACAGUACAUCGGUCGCCGUGUUCCGAUCUCUUUCUAUAUGAUGAAACUCCAGACCCUCGAAUUUAUCUUCCAGCUUUCGGACGGCGGCGCAGUAUUUUCCCAUUGAAUCACUUGAACAAUCCCAUUCCUUGUUUAUCUGGCUGAUGACUACCAGAGAAUCUCCAUAUACCAUCAGUCUCUUGACGCCCAGUGAUAUGGCGAUGUUUAAUCCGUGUAUCAAAGCUUCAUACUCGGCUGCGUUGUUAGAGGCCGGGAAUAGCAGCUGGAGAGCAUACUUGAGGUGUUCGCCUCCAGGUGCAGUGAAGAGAAUCCCUGCUCCUGCUCCCUGCAGCUUCAGCGAGCCAUCAAAAUACAUUCGCCAUACUUCUGCCGUUUCUGGAUUGUCUGGAACUUGCUGUUCUGUCCAUUCUGAUACGAAGUCAACCAGUGCUUGAGUUUUGAUGGCAGUGCGAGGUCGGAACUCGAUAUCGUGGGAUCCCAACUCGCAAGCCCACUUGGCUAUUCGGCCAAUGGCUUCCUUGUUGUGAAGAAUGUCCCCUAUUGGAAAACCAGUAACUACUAUGACUUUGUGGUCGUCAAAGUAGUGACGCAGCUUGCGGGCAGUUAGAAGUACUGCAUAUAAUAGCUUCUGAACCUGAGGAUACUUUUUCUUCGAGGGGCCUAGAACUUCACUGAUGAAGUAAACAGGAUGUUGUACUGGAUAGGCAUGUCCUUCUUCUACUCGCUCGACUACCAACGCAGUGCUUACCACGUGAGUCGUGCAAGAGAUAUACAGCAACAAAUCCUCAGCCGGUUGAGUCGGCGUAGCUCGCCGGGGUGGUUUCAAUACUGGUGGUGUUGUCAAGAAUUUCUUCAGUGCGUCUAGAGCUUCUUGUGCUUCUGAAGUCCACUGAAACUUAUCCACCUUCUUGAGUAGUUUGUAAAAUGGCAAACCUUUUUCUCCCAGCCUGGAUAUAAAUCUGCUCAAAGCUGCCAUACAUCCAGUGAGUCGCUGAACCUUCUUUUGUGACCGAGGAGCUUCCAUCUUCAUGAUAGCUUCAAUCUUAUCUGGAUUAGCCUCAAUUCCCCGGUGGCUGACGAUAAAUCCGAGCAACUUUCCUGCUGGUACCCCGAAAACACAUUUUUCAGGAUUGAGCUUCCAUCUAUAUCUUCUCAGGCUGUUGAAAACCAGCUGUAAAUCUUCGAUGAAGUUUUCCUAAUUCUCUGUUUUAAUCACCACGUCAUCUACGUAAGCCUCCACACGCUUGCCCCAGUGAUCGGCUAAGCAUGUUUGAAUGGCUCUCUGAUAAGUCGCUCCAGCGUUUUUGAGGCCGAACGGCAUGGAGGUAUAACAAAAAGCACCAAACGGGGUGAUGAACGCCAUUUUUUCCUCGUCUUCCUUUGCCAAACUAAUCUGAUGAUACCCGGAAUAGCAAUCUAAGAAAGACAGCACAGAACAUCCAGCGGUGGAAUCCACCACUUGAUCUAUCCUCGGGAGCCCGAAGGGAUCCUUCAGACAGUGUUUGUUGAGAUCAGUAUAGUCGACGCACAUGCGCCAAUCCACUUUAUUCUUUUUGAGUACAAGAACAGGGUUGGCUAACCACUCGGGGUGUAAUACUUCUCUAAUAAAUCCAGCCGCGACCAAGCGAGCUAACUCGGCUCGAAUGGCCUCUCUCUUGUCGGGCGUGAAACGACGUAGCUUUUGCCGGAUCGGCCUCGCCUGAGGAUAGACCUUCAAUUUGUGCUCGGCCAGUUCUCUUGGGACUCCCGGCAUAUCCGCAGGUUGCCAUGUGAAUACGUCUCGGUUAUCUUGCAGGAACUGGACGAGCGCGUUUUCCUAUUUGUCAUUCAAACUGGAGCUGAUGAUGGCCGUCUUGCGCUCAUCAGCGAACCCCAGGUUGAUCCGCUUGGUUUCUUCAGUCGGCCGCAUAGAGGUCACGGCCUGAGCUUCGUUUGCCGGUACGGCGAGGUCUUCCUCAGGCUUAGAGUUCGCCGGCGUAGAAGGAACCGUUGACGGCUUGGUGGUGAGGGCUGCUUGGAUGGCCACUCGGAAACAUUCUGCGGCGCCUUGGAAGUCGGCGCGCACAGUUAUGAUUCCUUGCGGUCCUGGCAUCUUCAGUAUCAUGUAUGUAUAGUGCGGAAUGGCCAUGAAUUUGGCCAGCCCCGGCCUCCCGAUGAUGGCGUUGUACCCGCAGUCGAAGUUCGCCACCUCGAACCUCAGGAACUCGGUUCUGUAGUUCUCCGGAGUCCCGAAGGUGACCGGCAUGUAGAUGUGGCCCAGCGGGUAUUCCCCUUCCGUCGGCACGAUGCCGAAGAAAGGAGUGUCUGACUCGUGGAGCUCUUUGAGGUGAACUCCCAAGCCUUGGAGCGUACGGGGGAAGGUGACGUUGAUGCUGCUCCCCCCGUCCACUAGCACCUUCUUUACCCGGCUCUCUCGGAUCACCGGAUCGACGAGGAGCGGGUAUCUGCCUGGAUGGUCGAAGUUGAGCCAUUGAUCCUCCCGAGUGAAAGUGAUCGGGUGCUCCGACCACCGGUACGGGGCGGGAGGGCCGGUGGUCGCCACCAGUAUCUGGCGGUCGUUGAGCUUUUGUUGUCUUUUGUUCUCCUGCGACCCAUGUCCACCGAAGAUGACGUUGACCUCCCUGUCAACGCGUGGGAAAGCUCCUCCUCCCCCCUCCUCCUGCUGAUGGGGCUGUCGUGGUUCAUCUGGUCCCCCCCUCGGCGGAGGAGGCGGUAGAGGUUGGAAGGGUCGGCCGUGCCCGACGGAGUGCUUGAAGUCCCGGCAGUUACGGAGAGUAUGGCGCAUGUCCUUGUGGUACGGGCACUGGGCGUCGAGGAUGUCGUCCAGCGUGCGCUCGCCUCCACGAGGCCCUCCUCGGGCGCGAGAGGCGGGUGGUCCGGCGGCGUGUACUUCUUCACGAGGCCUCUUCUCCCAGCGUUUGUCGGGUGGCUGGUUCGCGUCGCGUCGUGGUGCUGCCGGUGCAGGCUUUGCUCCUCCGAUGAGAUCCUGGGCCCGCUCGUCGGCGGUGAUGUAGAGGUCGGCUUCCCGGAACAGCUCCUCGGAGGUAGUCGGCGCCUUUUGUAGUAUGGCUCGGACGAAAGCCGAGUCAUUGGAUCCUCUGUAGAAGUCCUCGAUCACGGCCGCCUCCGUGACCUCGGGGAUGCGGUUUCUCAUGGUCUGGAACCUUUUGAGGUAUGACCGGAGAGUCUCGUCCCCUCGGCGCUUGAUGGAUUUGAGGUCCCAUGGUUGCGCUGGCUUGUCGGAGAGGGACUGGAAGUUGGCGAUGAAGCGUCGACUGAAGUCUCCCCAGUCGUCGAUGCAGUGUCGGGGUAGAUGUCGUAGCCACUGCAGCGCAUCUUGCCCAAGGACGAUGGGCAGAUACGCAGUCAUGACGUCUUCGGAUGCUCCGGCAGCCCGAGCAGCGGUGGUGUAGACGGCUAACCAACCCCCUGGAUCUUGCUUAGGUUCAUAUUUGUCGACAUUGGAUACCUUGAAGUUGGGAGGCCAUUGGAUGGCCCUAAGGCGCGGAGUAAGAGCGGAUACUCCGCACGUGUCCUCCUGUCGUCGGGGAUGUCGUCUGUCCCGGGGAGGGGAGUGGUGGUGGUGAUUCCUCGACCGUCCCCGGGUGGUACCGCCAGUUGAAGCUGUUGCCGACUCAGUCCUGGUGGCCUGGCUUUGAGUCGGGAAGGCAUGAUCUCGGUCAUACUCCUCCCGACGGCGAAUUUCGUUUUCAUGCCGUCGUUCGCGCGAAGCAUUGAUAGAGCUUCGCGCGUCUCGGCGACUGUUGAUGGCGUGUCGCAGAUCGUUCGGCGGGUGAGCGAGCGACAGAAGAUGGUUGGCCGCCUGAGUGAACAGGCGUCGGUAUCCCUCGGCGUCGGGAGUCCGAGGAAGUCCGUCAGCUAUCCGAGCUAGUACGCCUCCGACUUCGCUCGGCGUGUUCAUAGCUCGGGCAAAGUCGGGGUUCAGGUUGCGCCCGAAAAGCGGAUUCUCCCGGCGUUGCCUUGCAUCUUGCUCGGCUUGCUCCUGAAUCCGUCGGCGGUCACGUCGUCGGGAGUUCCUUCGUUCCCUGAAGACGCGUUCUUCCGGAGUUUCUCCUACCUCCGAGACCUCGUCUCGCGAGACAGGCUGCUCCGGAUCCCGUUCCCCGGCCUCGUGAUGUCGUCGAACGUUCCUGCGUCGGUUCCUCCGUCGGCGGGAUUCUCGUUGAGGUGGUUCUUCUCCAGGCGUGGUCGGUUCGUCGUCAGAGACGGCGGGCGACUCCACUCUCCCGAUGAAGAGGACGUCGGGGUAGAAUGGUACUGCUGUCGUGGCGACUUUCUUUCCGUUCUCCUUUGAGGCCGGAGGAACGGGAAGAACGACUUGCCUUUCCCUGGUCUCCUUCUUUCUCGCGACCCGUGUCCAUUCUUUCGUCGGGGAAGUAGACAGCGGAGUCUUCCGGGUCAGCGAGCUUCUAGCUCCAGCCUUCCCGGAGACGAUCUUUUUCCGAAGAGCCGGAGGUAGCGUCUUUCCAGCAUUUUCGGAGUUUGUUGGAGGAAACUUCUCUUCUGGCAGAUCUGCGAUGCGGUGUAGAAUUCCCCCUUCAUCCGCUACAGAUGAGAUUGUCCCGAAGCAGAAUACAGAUCCGGGACGCACGGUGAUCUUGCUGUGGAAGAUGACGGCCAUUGAGCUAGCUUGGAUCGUCGACACACACCCCUACCUGGCGCGCCAGCUGUCAGUGUUUUGGGUCCGACCGCACACCCGGGGUUGCCCCUCAAGGUGUUUUUAGGAGUAGGACGGUGUCGACGACUGUAGCAAAAUGGUUCGUGCCGAUCGCACGAGGGACAAUGGACAAGAUUUGCAGGUUCGGGCCGCUUAGAGAUGCGUAACACCCUACGUCCUGAUGAGUGUUCGAGUGUGGUUACAAGAGGACUCUCUGGGUUGAAGGCACAGAGAGUUUACGUGGGUGGCUAAGUAAAGUAGGGUCGAUCGUUCUGAAGGGGUGCCCCCUAGGCCUUAUAUACUCGACCGUGGGGCAGUACACGUGGAUAUGAUAACAACAAGUAGCUAAAAGAUAGUGAACCUCUUGAGUUUAUCCCUACGUAACCCUCGCCGACUUAUCCUCGCAUGGCUCCGUUGCAUGGGGGCUUCAGCGCGGGAAAGUCGGGUCUCUGUUGCGAUUCAUUCGUUCGACGUUGUGGGCCGUCCGGGUUUGCACCAAUCCAGUCUCAUGUCUUCUCUUCUUUGUUGGUUGUCUUUCCCCAGGCCCACGAAAGAAUGACCUUACGAAUUAUUGGGCCCUUGGGCCUUUCGUGAGGUCUUUUACUUCUUUAGUGGACCCAGGGGAUAUCUAUCCCCCACACAAGGGUAUGCUGGAUAAAUAGGAAUCAAGGAGAGGCUUUAGCAAGAAUCAACUUAUAUACUUUUGCAGAAAUAGCUUACUAAAGUGAGUCCUUACUUUCAACAUUUUAACGCCAGAUUAAAUAUUAAUAGACUCUGUUUGCCUCUAGUCUAAUUUCAUCAUUUCAUCAAUACAACAUCAUUUUUAUUCACGAAGUUCACAUCCUGACUUAGGUUGUAGGGCAGUGAUCAAGUCUCCACUCUCCGGGGAUAUAACGGCGAUCCGAAUCGAUUUACUCAGCUGAGGAUCUCUAACCACACGACAUAUGUAGCACUUAAUCCUUGCAUAUGUCAACUCGACCCCAGGGUUCUUAAGACCAGAUCAGGUUCACGCAAACCGAGAGCACAGAUACACCACCGUCCAGCCUCUUGCCACGGAGGGUACACGCUACUCCCGCCACCGCUCCACGCCCAUUUCGUGUUAUCUUAUUCUGGCCUUAGUCUGCCCGAGGCAAAGCUUACCCUGUCCCAUUUCCAGGGUAUGCGGCUAGCUAAGAUAGUCCUUGCUCUAUCAAGCCUACAUACGCAUUCAAUCCUUAAUCAACCUGGGUAGAACAUCACCUGUUCCUAGCCCAAGUCUCGAUUUAUGUAUUUCCAUCCUUAGGAUUGUUUCUGUUCCUUAGGAUGAAAAGAGCAUCACAGGGAACUUUGCAGUAAGAUCCCACCAUGCUCCCAAUGAAAAUAUAUUCUUGCAGGUAGAAGUCAUCUUUCCUCAGGAUAACCCCUGAGCAAGGCCUUAACGCAAAAGACAACUUCCAUCCACAAGAUCUAAGCAGGGCUAAGCAUUUUUGUAAAUCAAAUUUUGAUACUUCCAAAGAAGUAUCUAUAACAGGUAUGGAUAUCAAGGAAGGCAAUGCAUCAAAGGGUUUCAAGCAACUCCUAUAAACUUAAUGCACAUUUCACUAGACUUAAAGUGUGCGAAAAGUAUUUAAAAACACAAGGAAGGGGUUGCAUGCACCGGGGCUUGCCUUUGUUAGUAGGUGAGUCAGGCUCGGACUCGCAGAUGUCGAAGUAGAGCCAAGUCUCUGCCUGAGAUUCCAAAGGUGGUGAUGUCUUUUCUUCAGUCACUUCACCCUCUUCUCCGUUUUCUAAAUAUAACCAUAUAGGUAUAUAUAUAAGAAUGAAUGCCAUGUAAUGCAAACUAUCACAAGGAGAGGUGGAGAACAGAAACACUACAACUAAAGCACAUGACAAGAAUACACCUAUUUCUUAUCGCUCGAUUAAAGUGACCAAAUUGAAAUCACUUGGGUAAACCAGGGAAUUACCCCAACCAAGGUCUCAAGCAAAAGCUUAAAACUCCUUAAGUAACUUCAUCCAAGGGUCAAGAUCUCACUAGAUCAACAUGCCUCUGCCCCAAAAGCACUUAGUUCCAUAAUUAAGUAAGGAUUUAAUAACUAUUUUUGGAAUUUUUCUGUGAUUUCUAACAUAAUUUAUAAGCUCUUGAUAAAAGAAAAGACAAGGCUGUCAACAGUGUUGGGCCCCAAAUUGCUGGCGCGACCCAACAACCAGGCAAAGCUGGCCCAAACCCGGGAGCCCGCGCCCGCUUUGGCCAUCUUGCACAAAGGACCUUGCGCUCUGGUUAAAAUAAUCCGAGCUCCCAGCCACUGUUGCUUGUGUCUCUGACAUCUUCGCUAAAACCCCUCGGCUACCACUCUUUUACAAGCACUCGGCCCCGACACUGCCCGCUCGGACUCCGGUGACCCAGUGCCAGAUCGGCCAUGGUGGCGCAACACCGGCGACGGCGAUGGUACCCACGUGAACCCCGAAUCGCAGUGAACUCGGGUAUGGGCUCAAUCAAUCCGUGAGAACUCCACAACCCAUCUAUCGACAGCGACGACAGAGCACUGGAUUUGACGAACUUAAUUCCCCGAUCACCGCACGGUAGUGUUCAAACAAACGGGCCAGGGAGCUUUAGAGACCUCUCGAGUCUACGGUGCGCGCAUGCAAUCGCUCGGGAACUGGCGUGGUUAAUAUAGUUCACACCGAGGCUGUCCUCGGCGCCCGACUGCGACGGCGCGACCAUGUUCUACUCAACGUAUGGUGGUAAAGCUUGAACAAACCACUUGAUCAGCUUCACUGAUCAAUACAGAGCAUGGAACACAAGCCAUACGGGUGAGAAACUUUCUAAGCAUACCUGGCCACGGUGAAGUGGAGGAUCUGCAGGUGUUCAGUGCCUUGAUUAAUGGAUUUGGGCGUGUCCAGGUUAUGAUUUUGGAGGAAGGGAACACAAUACAACUAACUGAAGCUACACAUGGUGAUCAAGAACUGAGACAAGGAUUACUCCUCUGCUCCU